rnacentral:rRNA from 1 species
CGGCUUUCCUAUUUUGUUGGUUUCUAGGAGAGCCGUAAUGAUUAAUAGGGAUAGUCGGGGGCAUCAGUAUUCAAUUGUCAGAGGUGAAAUUCUUGGAUUUAUUGAAGACUAACUACUGCGAAAGCAUUUGCCAAGGAUGUUUUCAUUAAUCAGUGAACGAAAGUUAGGGGAUCGAAGACGAUCAGAUACCGUCGUAGUCUUAACCAUAAACUAUGCCGAUUAGGGAUCGGUGGAUGUUAUUUAUUUUGACUCCAUCGGCACCUUACGAGAAAUCAAAAUUUGUUCUGGGGGGAGUAUGGUCGCAAGGCUGAAACUUAAAGAAAUUGACGGAAGGGCACCACCAGGAGUGGAGCCUGCGGCUUAAUUUGACUCAACACGG